rnacentral:rRNA from 1 species
AUUGAACGCUGGCGGCAUGCUUUACACAUGCAAGUCGGACGAGUGGCGAACGGGUGAGUAACGCAUCGGAACGUACCGAGUAAUGGGGGAUAACUGUCCGAAAGGACAGCUAAUACCGCAUAUUAUUCGAGCGGCCGAUGUCUGAUUAGCUGGUUGGUGGGGUAAAGGCCCACCAAGGCGCAGAUCCGUAGCGGGUCUGAGAGGAUGAUGCGCCACACUGGGACUGAGACACGGGCCAGAGUCCUACGGGAGGCAGCAGUGGGGAAUUUUGGACAAUGGGCGCAAGCCUGAUCCAGCCAUGCCGCGUGUAUGAAGAAGGCCUUCGGGUUGUAAAGGAUUUUUGUCAGGGAAGCGGUACCUGAAGAAUAAGCACCGGCUAACUACGUGCCAGCAGCCGCGGUAAUAC